rnacentral:rRNA from 1 species
UGGGGAAUAUUGGACAAUGGGCGAAAGCCUGAUCCAGCCAUGCCGCGUGUGUGAAGAAGGUCUUCGGAUUGUAAAGCACUUUAAGUUGGGAGGAAGGGCAGUAAGCGAAUACCUUGCUGUUUUGACGUUACCGACAGAAUAAGCACCGGCUAACUCUGUGCCAGCAGCCGCGGUAAUACAGAGGGUGCAAGCGUUAAUCGGAAUUACUGGGCGUAAAGCGCGCGUAGGUGGUUCGUUAAGUUGAAUGUGAAAGCCCCGGGCUCAACCUGGGAGCUGCAUCCAAAACUGGCGAGCUAGCGUAGGGCAGAGGGUGGUGGAAUUUCCUGUGUAGCGGUGAAAUGAGUAGAUAUAGGAAGGAACACCAGUGGCGAAGGCGACCACCUGGGCUCAUACUGACACUGAGGUGCGAAAGCGUGGGGAGCAAACAGG